AUUGAACGCUGGCGGCAGGCUUAACACAUGCAAGUCGAGCGGGGUGAUGGUGCUUGCACUAUCACUUAGCGGCGGACGGGUGAGUAAUGCUUAGGAAUCUGCCUAUUAGUGGGGGACAACAUCUCGAAAGGGAUGCUAAUACCGCAUACGUCCUACGGGAGAAAGCAGGGGAUCACUUGUGACCUUGCGCUAAUAGAUGAGCCUAAGUCGGAUUAGCUAGUUGGUGGGGUAAAGGCCUACCAAGGCGACGAUCUGUAGCGGGUCUGAGAGGAUGAUCCGCCACACUGGGACUGAGACCCGGCCCAGACGCCUACGGGAGGCAGCAGUGGGGAAUAUUGGACAAUGGGGGGAACCCUGAUCCAGCCAUGCCGCGUGUGUGAAGAAGGCCUUAUGGUUGUAAAGCACUUUAAGCGAGGAGGAGGCUCUUUUGGUUAAUACCCAAGAUGAGUGGACGUUACUCGCAGAAUAAGCACCGGCUAACUCUGUGCCAGCAGCCGCCGUAA
rnacentral:rRNA from 1 species